rnacentral:rRNA from 1 species
AGUGAACGCUGGCGGCGUGCUUAACACAUGCAAGUCGAACGAGAACGGAUUUUAGCUUGCUAAAAUUGUCAGCUAAGUGGCGCACGGGUGAGUAAUAUAUAGGUAAUGUGCCCCUUACAAAAGAAUAACAGUUGGAAACGACUGCUAAUGCUUUAUAUGCCUCUAUCACAAAAGUGAGCGAGGGAAAGAAUUUCGGUAAGGGAUCGGCCUGUACGGUAUCAGUUAGUUGGUGAGGUAAUGGCUCACCAAGACAAUGACGCCUAACUGGUUUGAGAGGAUGAUCAGUCACACUGGAACUGAGACACGGUCCAGACUCCUACGGGAGGCAGCAGUGGGGAAUAUUGCACAAUGGGGGAAACCCUGAUGCAGCAACGCCGCGUGGAGGAUGACACAUUUCGGUGCGUAAACUCCUUUUAUGUGGGAAGAUAAUGACGGUAUCACAUGAAUAAGCUCCGGCUAACUCCGUG